GUAACCGGGCCUUCGACUUUGCUCAUGUUAGGGCGAGGUUCUCCUCCUGUCCCUAUCAUGGCUAUGGGGGUGCAUGAGGGCGUUGUAGGGCCUCUCCCCCCAUCCGGUCUAAGGAGAACCGGGCCUUCGACUUUGCUCAUGUUAGGGCGAGGUUCUCCUCCUGUCCCUAACAUGGCUGUGGGGGCACAUAAGGGCGUUGCAGGGCCUCUCCCCCCAUC
rnacentral:lncRNA from 1 species